AUAUUAGACGUGGGAACUAAACAAGAUUAACUGUUCUCAUCAGUUUAAUUAAUAUCUGAUGUGUGGGCUAUGUGUUCACUUCGAUAUUAAAUUUAUUAUUUGUGGGGGAGGGCUCAUUACAGUGGCAAGCCCUUGCCACUGGGGCCCUCGCGCGUCGCCCAGGCGUUGCACUGCUGCCCGGGCCUGGCGCACCCAAC
rfam:Oryza glaberrima chromosome 7 Oglab07_0138_10, whole genome shotgun sequence.